GUGGGAUAUAAUUCGUGCCAUGUACCUCUGAAGAGCAUUAAUUUACACUCGGUGGUCAAGGCAAUGCUCCAGUAUGCAUGCAUGCUCAUAGAUGAGAUGUCGGAUUCAUGUGCACGUUGAUCACCACGGUGGCGCCCUCCGAUGCUCCAGGAUGCAUGCAUGCUCAUAGAUAAAUUGUCGGAUUCAUGUGCACGCUGGUCACCACGGUGGGGCCGGAGGGCGCCUCUGAGUCAGGGCAGGCUGCUCCUUGAGUGCUGGAGUCCAAUCACAGCUUGAACUUCAAGCCUUGAACCUGCCGCAUGGAUUAGCCGCCACCGUGGCCAUUGCCACGCGAACGUUGUGACGGGUCGUGACAUGGUGCGCUUGGAGUACUCCCCUAGAGCCCUGCUUGGAGUUUGCCAGUGCUGCCAGGUGUGCUUGUCAGCAGUGUUACCGCCGCAGGGGCAAACGAGGGCGUGAAUCUAGAGGCGCAUUCUGCAGAUUCGCCAACCGGCAAGUUGCAAGCUUAGAGCCCCGCCUUUGCCCAGUUGCAGGGCCUGUUGCAUGCCACGGCAUUUGCACAAUCUUGACUGGUCCGGGACAGACCCAAAUGUUCUGCAAAGACCACAUUUAUGUCUCUCUACUGUAAAGGCCAGACCUGAAUACCCAAUGUCAAUGGCUCACCACAGGGAAGUACUUAUCAGAGACCAGCAGCGCAGGCGCAGCUAUCUAGCUCGGGCUGCAGCGAGGUUUUGCACAUUGCAUUGAAACCUGAUCAGCACGCAAUACCGGUAUCGAUCGGAUAACGUGCUGCCACCAUUUCAGCAUGCUGAGGACAUGCCAAUGUAAUUCAUAUUUUGGCCCGUGUGUCAUAGCUAGGUGCAGAAUGACUUCAUUGCUGUCUUGAUGUCACAGAUAUAUUUGUGGACCUCAGAUUUCCUUGCAUUCAGACUCGCCAACUCCGCAUUAACCUUC
rnacentral:lncRNA from 1 species